UCCUUCGGGAUGAGUAGAGUGGCGCACGGGUGAGUAACACGUGGGUAAUCUGCCUUAAGAUGGGGAAUAACCCCUCGAAAGAGGGGCUAAUACCGCAUAAGACCACAGUUUCUAGGGAGACAGUGGUUAAACGUGACCUCUAUUUAUAAGUUAUGGUCUUAAGAUGAGCCUGCGCACUAUUAGCUAGUUGGUAGGGUAAUGGCCUACCAAGGCUACGAUAGUUAGCUGGUCUGAGAGGAUGAUCAGCCACACUGGAACUGAGACACGGUCCAGACUCCUACGGGAGGCAGCAGUAGGGAAUAUUGCUCAAUGGGGGAAACCCUGAAGCAGCAACGCCGCGUGAGUGAUGAAGGCCUUCGGGUCGUAAAGCUCUGUUGUACGGGACGAAUGCGCCUAUGGCUAACAUCCAUAGGCAGUGACAGUACUGUAUAAGAAAGGACCGGCUAACUUCGUGCCAGCAGCCGCGGUAAGACGGGGGGUCCUAGCGUUGUUCGGAAUCAUUGGGCGUAAAGCGUGUGCAGGUGGUUCUGUAAGUUAGAUGUGAAAGCCUUGGGCUUAACCCAAGAAGUGCAUUUAAAACUACAAAACUUGAGUAUGGAAGAGGGUCGUGGAAUUCCAGGUGUAGUGGUGAAAUACGUAGAUAUCUGGAGGAACACCGGUGGCGAAGGCGGCGACCUGGUCCUAUACUGACACUCAUACACGAAAGCGUGGGGAUCAAACAGGAUUAGAUACCCUGGUAGUCCACGCCGUAAACGAUGGAUACUUGGUGUUGAAGGUAUUGACCCCUUCAGUGCCGGAGCUAACGCA
rnacentral:rRNA from 1 species